rnacentral:piRNA from 1 species
GGAGACAGGUGAGAUGGCUGCCAUGGU